GACGAGCCGUGCGAACGUUGUUCGGAAUCACUGGGCUUAAAGGGCGCGUAGGCGGGCUCGAAAGUCAGGGGUGAAAUCCCGCGGCCCAACCGCGGAAGUGCCUUUGAUACUGCGAGCCUCGAGGGGGGUAGGGGCGUGCGGAACUUCCGGUGGGGCGGUGAAAUGCGUAGAUAUCGGAAGGAACACCGGUGGCGAAAGCGGCGCGCUGGACCCCUUCUGACGCUGAGGCGUGAAAGCCAGGGGAGCAAACGGG
rnacentral:rRNA from 1 species